rnacentral:lncRNA from 1 species
AUGCACAGAUCAGCCCCCAGUCAAACCACCAAGAGGAGCCGAUCACCGUUUUCCACCACUCGUCGUAGUUGGGAUGACAGCGAGAGCUCAGGAACCAGCCUGAACGCUGAUAAUGAGGACUACUCCAGGUACCCGCCCAGAGAGUACAGGGCUUCGGGGAGCAGAAGAGGAAUGGCUUAUGGACAUGUUGACUGUUUCGGGGCAGAUGAUAGUGAGGAGGAGGGGGCUGGGCCUGUUGAGCGAGUGUCAGUGAGAGGGAAAACUGGCAAGUUUAAAGAUGAUAAGCUGUAUGACCCGGAGAAGGGGGCAAGGUCUCUGGCUGGGGUGGCCUCACAGUUCUCUAGUUUUAACCAUGAUGUGAGAGAGGAGCUUGACAAGUUAGACCCAGCCCCUGCAGCACGGUCCUCUGCUAGCAGAGCUGAGUUCUUGCAGUCAAAUAGCAUGGCCUCUCAGCCGUCUUCUGCUGAAGGCAAGGUGGUCACAAACAGCAACAACCUGGAGAGGGAGAGACAGGAGCCGAAUUUACCUGCAUGUCCCAGCAGGGCUCCUGUGAGUAUUUGUGGUGGGGAAAACACUCCCAAGAGCGCAGAGGAACCGGUGGUGAGGCCUAAAAUCAGAAAUCUGGCAAGUCCCAACUGCGUGAAACCAAAAAUCUUUUUUGAUACCGAUGAUGAUGAUGAUAUGCCACAUAGCACUUCCAGGUGGAGGGAGACUGCCAGCGCUGAUGAAGGCCACUUGGAUGGCCUGGCAAGAAGAGCGGAGGUGAGGGCUCAAGUGGCUACCCUGAGCCGAAGUACCCCGAAGACAGAGGGAAGCCAGGAGUGACAAGUGAAGCCCGAAAAGGUGCCUAGACGGCGACGAACCAUGGCCGACCCCGACUUCUGGACAUACAGCGAUGACUACUACAAAUACUUU